CACUGAUAAAAAAGGAAAAAUUUUGUGUGCCACAGCCCCAACCCCCAGAAGUUCAGAAUGUGUCUGUGUUUGAAGACAAGCACAGAAGGUGGUGAUUUAGCUAAAAAUAAAGCAAGUAGUGUGGAUCUUCAUCCAGUCACACUGGUGUCUUGUCAGAACACUAAACUUGGGCACACAGAGGGACACAAACAGAGCAAAGACCUCUCAUGGACACAGUGUGAAGGAGCCAGGGAGCAGGGCUCAGGGGAAACCAGCCCAGCUGACACCUCCAUCCUUGAUUUCAGCGUCCAGAACUGUGUGAAGAUGGCCAUCUGUGGCUUGAGUGUCCCAGUCUGGAAUUUUGUUAUAGCAGCCUGAGAAGAUUAGAAAAGCAGAAAAGGGAGAAGACAAACAAUUCCACAAUCAUCUAUGGAAACAGUUCUAUAUUUAAUCCUCUGUCCUGGAAGUCUGUACUACCAAUUUAAAGGUAGUAGGUAUGGUGGCACAUCUGUAUUCCCAGCUAAUUUGGAAGCUGAAGCAGAACCAUCACAAGUUCAAGGUCAGCCUGGGAAGCUGAGGAAGAGAUCCUGCCUCAAGACAAAAAAGGCUGGAGAUGUAGCUCAGUGGUGGAGCACCUGCCUAGCUGGCAACAGGACCUGGAUUCAUUCUCCAGCACCCAGAAAAAAGAAAAGGAAAACAAGGGUCUAGUGCUACCUGAGACCAUCAGAUCCAUCAGCUUGCUUCCUGCCCAUAUUCCCCUGCCCAAGCCUGACUCUGACACCGAUGGACUGAGCCCCACUGCUCCCUGCUCCACCCCAGCAGCAGAGCUUGCUGCGCCUCACAGUAGCCACAAAGCACCUACAGCUGUUGUCAGGUGCUGGCAAUGUUCCUCGUCGAACUGAACUAUGCUGUAAGUCUAAGGCAAAAUCUAGAUUUCAAAGAAGUAACAUGAAAGGAAAGGCAUGAAAAAUCUCAUUAACACUUUAUAAAAUGUUCUGGAGAUAGAUGUACAGCAGUGUGAAUGUACUUAACUUUACUGAACUGUAGAUUUUAAAAUGGUUAAGUGAGCCGGGUGUGGUGUUGUGGGCCUGUAAUUCCAGCACUCUGGGAGGCUAAGGCAGGAGGAUCAAAGGUUGAGUCCAGUCUGGGCAGUUUAGCGAGAGUCUGUCUCAACAUUAAUAAUAAUAAUAAUAAUAAAGUUUGGAGAUUUAGCUUAGUGCAAAGAUCCUGAUUCAAGCCUCAAUUAAAAAAAAAGGAAAAGAAAAAAAGAGUUAAAGUAGUCAUUUGUAUGUUAUAAGCAUUUUACCACAUUUCUGGUUUAAAAUAAAUUGACAUCCAGGCAUGCUGGCACACGCCUAUAAUCCCAACACUUGGGAGGCCGAGACAGGAUGAUCACCAUGAGUUCGAGGCCAGCCUAGACUAUAUAAGUGAGUUCAAGGCCAGCUUCACUACAUAGUGAGAACUUGCCUCAAAAAAAAAAAGUGGAAUGCAAAAAUAUCAUUAGUAAGUUUUAAUAUGGAAUACAUACUAAAGCAGUCAUAUUUUGGAUCUGUAGUUUCAAUAAAAUAAAUCAUCAAUGUUAAUUCUGCUUCUUUGAAUUCUUUUUUUUUUUUUUUUAGACAGGGUCUCACUAUGCAGUUAAGGCUUGAGCUCACUUUGUAGCCAAGGCUGGUCUCGAACUUGCAACAAUCCUCCUGCCUCAGCCUCCUGAAUGUUGGGAUUACAGCCGUGAGCCACCACACCCUUUUAAUUCUUUUUUAAAAAUUCUGCUUUUGAAACAUUUUUAUUUAUUUAUUUAUUUAUUUAUUGUUUAUUUCAUCAAAUAAACCAUUGUAUUAGGGAUUGAACCCAGGGCCUUGUUCGUGCUAGGCCAGUGCUCUACUGCUUGUUGAAAUAUUUAAAAUUGUAUACGUGGUUUAAAUUGAUUUGUGGCUUGUGUUGUACAUAUAAGGGACAAUACUGACCCAGAAUGACAGCCAGCAUGCAGUAGGCAGUUAUACAUGGGUUGACUAUCAGAAUGAAUAUAGUUGCUGCCAGACAGGUGCUUUCCGACACCUGCACACUCAGGUGUGGAGGCUGCAAUGGCAGGAGGAGGUAGGCUGUGUUGGAGCAGUUUACACAAGUAACUAGUAAUUCACGUCUAUCAUGAGGUUGAAAAUAGUAGCCGCCAUUCAUUGAGCACCUAGCAUGAACCCGUGACUGUCAUGGCACGAGCUGUAAGCAUCCCACUUAUUCCUUGAGUCAAUCCUGCUAGGAGUCCCUGGCAUCCAUGGCCACCCAGGUCACCCAGCUGUGAGCUGACAGGCAGAGCACACAUAAGCAGCACGAGUGUCCCACGCACCUGCCUGCCCCACGGACUGCCUACUAUGUGAGACUUUAAGCCCUUGCCCAGCACAAGCUUCUGGCUCAGAAGACUUCUGGCUUCCAGAGAGAUAAGGAGCCCAGGCAACCAGACCCUGCUUCUAAGGGUUCAGGAAGAGAGUGAAACGAUUCAUAAUCUCUGACGGCCGAACGCUCACCGUCCAGAUCUGGCUGCCAGCCCUCUCAAGUUCAAGAACUCCGAGGAACCGGUCCUAGCCUGGGUGGUCAUUCUUGUUCAGGGCAGUUGUGGUCGAUGGCUCUGAGCCCAGUGUGUCCCUGAAACUGUAGCAGUCAUACCUAUCUGUGGGGUGUGGCCUGUCUCCUCCCGACUUGUGGCUUCAGGCUUUGAACUGGGGAUCUGGGUCCACCCCAACCUGCUCCAUAUGCGAGGCUCAAAUCCAUUUUCAUGGACUCCCUACAGUGUCUAAGGCAAGACCUGCUUGGGAAGGACCCUUGCUAGCAGCCGCACAGAUCGGAUCCCUUGGUAUGGGGAAGUUUCCAAUAAACAGACACAAAGUUCUGCCCUCUCCCUGCUCCAGUGAUGUCUUUAAAUUAUUCAUUUGAACUUGAGGAAACUGCUCCAGUCUGGUUAAAGAGAGUUUGGCUAAAGAAGCUGUCCAAAGCCUGAUUUACUCACUGAGAACUAGCUGUCAAGGCAUCUGUCCUCAUUGUGAAUGAAAAUCCACUGGGCGCCCAGGGCAUAGCUGAGAGCAAGGUUCCCAAAUUCUGGUCUCCUGACCAGCCUCAGUAGCAGCCCCCAGGAACUUGUUAGGAAAGCAUAUCCUCAGGUCCCACCUCUGCCCACCUGAAUCAGAAACUGGGUUAUAACAAGCAAUCUGUGUCGUAACCAUCUUCCAGAAAUUUGAGGCCAUGCUAAAUAAAAUUCAAGAACUCCUGUCUUAUGGCUUACUGAGAUUGGAAGCAGCAGUUUGUUAGACUUGCAAAAUUCAGAUCCCGCUGAACCUACUGGGUCAGAAUCUGUGCCUUCACUGUUUACCCCUUUUUGGUGCUGGGGACAGAAUCCAGGGUCUCAUGUGUGCUAGAUGAGUGCUCUAUCACUGAGCUACUUUCCAGCCAGUAUCUGCUUAACCAGAUUCCAGGUGAUUCUGCAUAUCACAGUUUGAGAUGUGUUGGCCUAGAGUUCCUUACAAUUCAGACAGAGGCAUCAAACUCAAAUGUUCUUGGGGGCCAGGUAGGUGAUCUCACAAAGCCAUGUUAGAUCCAGUCAGUUAUUACCAAUUGGAUUCACAGGUUCAGGAGAGCUAGAUCUUGCAAUGAUUUGAGAGAAUCUGAAACCCAGACAUUAAAAUGAAAUUUUCUCGUUUAUAUAUUACUAGGAGUUGGACACGGUCAUACAUGCUUAUAAUUCUAACUGUUUGGGAGGAUAAGACAAGAAGGUCACAAGUUCAAGGCUAGCCUGGUUAGUGAGACCCUGUUUCAAAAUAAUCUUUAAAGCAAAAGGGGGUAGCGAUUAGUUCAGUGAUAAAGCACUUGCUUAGCAGGUGUAAUAUCCUAAAUUCAAUCUCCAGGACUACAAAAGCAGAGCAGAGCAGAGCAAAGCAAAGCAAAACAAAACAAAAAAGAAAACAAAAGUUACUAGUGCCUGGGGUAUAGCUCAGUGGUAAAGCACAUGCUUAGCAUAGAUGAGGACCUGGGUUCAAUCCUCAGCACCCACUCUUUCAACAAAAAUUACUACACAGAACACAAAACAAGGCUUGAGGGAUAUAAACUUGUGACCCUGCCCAUAGGCGUGGGGGCAGGCAUGGUGCCUUAAACACUGGGCCAUUUUUGUGACCUUGGGAAGGGGCAGGCAGCUCAGCUCUGCCAGGGCACACAUAGAAGGGACACCAGGAUUAUCUUGAUCUCCACUGCCUGGCACAGCCAUCUGAAGAUCUUUAAAAACACUGCUGAUUGGCUCCUAGCCUCAGACAUUCAGAUUUACUUGGUUGUGGGUGUAAUGUGAGCACCAAACUUUGACAAAGCUCCUUGGGUUGUUUGAAUGUGCUGCAGAUAUGGGAAUCUCUGGCCAGAGCAGGGUCAUCAAACUUGGCCAGUUAAGGUCCUAGUAUUCAUAUUUUAAGGUUCUGUGUGCAUUCACAUUGGAGGAUCUCAUGAUGGGUAUUCAGUGCAGAAGUAGCCAUAGGUAAUACACGAGCAAUCAACAAUAUUUGGGAAUACUGAAUUUUGAUGAAUGUAAUCUGCACACAUUAUGAAAAAACUUUUUUGGGGGUGUAGUACAAGAAAUUGAACUAAAGGACUUGGUUAUAUCCCCAGCCUUUUAAAAACAUUUAUUUUAAAAUUUGACAUAGAUGUUAAGUGGCUAAAUUGUCCAGGUUGGACUUGAACUUGUGAUCCUCCUGUCAGCCCCCCAGCGUACUGGGAUUACAGGCAUGCAUCGUCUUACCUUGCUUCUCUUAUUUUUUUUUUUUUUUUAACUGUGUAAAAGCUAUUCUUAGCUCACUGGCUGCACAAAAAGAGACAGUAGGCCAAGCCCAGCCCAUGAGUGAGGUGAGGCUUGCAGAGCCGGGGCUGGGGGCAGCACUGAGGCCUCCUCCUUCCUGGUACUGACUGCACAGUGGCUGUGCACAGUCUUAGAGGCCCAACAGCACUUGCCUCUGGCAAACUGAUGUUAGCAAGGCCCAGUGGAGUACUGAAUUGAUCUGGCACUGUGCCCCAAUCCUCCAUUGUCCUGGAAGGAUUUCAGGGAGCUGCCUUCCAGCAGGUGACACCAGCCCAACCUUCCUGGCUGGUGAUUUUACUGAACCUUAGCAUGUAGUGAACAUUUACAUGCAGCAGGCUGAGUGACCCAGGCAAUCUCAUUUCCUUCUCAUGGCCACCUUGUCAGACAGGGAGAGCUAGUGUUAUCAUGUAUUACUAUCUUCCCAUUUGUUUGAGACAAGCAUGAGGUACAGAGAGGCCAAGUGAUUUGCCUCAAGUCACACAGCAAGAAUGGCGGGGAAUAAUUAAAUCUAUGUGGAAUAAUAAUCACCAGUCACCAUCAUGCUCAAAAACAACCUUCUCAGGACAGCAACAAACAAACCUUGGCUCUUUGGAUAUUUUUGUUCAUUUGUUUUAAGGCAGGGCUUGCUAUGUAGUUCAGACUGUCCUUGAACCCUCUGUGUAGCUCAAACUGACCUUGAAAUCAUGUCAAUCCUCUUUCCUCAGCCUCCCAAGUGCUAGGAUUACAGGCAGGUGCCACCACACCCAGCCAGUCCUUUGAAUCUUGAUUGGCAUCCCAAUGCCAUCCAACCUUCCUCUGUCUUGAACCUGAGAUCAUUCUGUGCCCUCCCUGGGAAGAAAGAGACUGGCAGAAUGUCUUAUACAGCUGCAUGUGCCGCUGUGCACUGCACAACUCAAGAAGGCGUAGUUCACAAUGUGGUGUCUGUGAAGGGCACGCCUGGAGUUGUGUUGCACACAUACACAGCCUUAGAGGCUGGAGGGAAGACACCCAGGGUUGUCUGGCAUAGGAUCAACCACGGGUCCACCUUUAUUUCUGUUCAGAAACAAAUCAUCAAAGAGGGAGAAGGGUCCUAAAGGAAAUGUUGCUGUGUGUGGCA